rnacentral:rRNA from 1 species
UUCCAGACUCCUACGGGAGGCAGCAGUGGGGAAUAUUGCACAAUGGGGGGAACCCUGAUGCAGCGACGCCGCGUGAAGGAAGAAGUAUUUCGGUACGUAAAGCUCUAUCAGCAGGAAAGAAAAUGACGGUACCUGACUAAGAAGCCCCGGCUAACUACGUGCCAGCAGCCGCGGUAAUACGUAGGGGGCAAGCGUUAUCCGGAUUUACUGGGUGUAAAGGGAGCGUAGACGGCAGCGCAAGUCUGGAGUGAAAUGCCGGGGCCCAACCCCGGAACUGCUCUGGAAACUGUGAAGCUGGAGUGCAGGAGAGGUAAGCGGAAUUCCUGGUGUAGCGGUGAAAUGCGUAGAUAUCAGGAGGAACACCGGCGGCGAAGGCGGCUUACUGGACUGUAACUGACGUUGAGGCUCGAAGGCGUGGGGAGCAAACAGGAUUAGAUACCCUCGUAGG